rnacentral:rRNA from 1 species
UCAAAAACAUGGCCUUUUGAUAAUAAUUUAAGGUCAGGCCUGCCCCCUGAAUAUUAAAGGGCCGCGGUAAUUUGACCGUGCUAAGGUAGCAUAAUCAUUAGUUUCUUAAUUAGAAGCUAGAAUGAAGGGUUUCAUGAAAAAAUAAUUGUCUCUAUUUAAUAAUUAUAGAAUUUUAUUUUUAAGUUAAAAAGCUUAAAUUUGUUUAAAAGACGAGAAGACCCUAUAGAGUUUAAUAUUAUUAUUCAGUAAUAUUUUAUUGGAAUAAUAAUUUUUUAUUGUUUAUAUUAUUUAAUUGGGGUGAUUAAAAAAUUAAAUAAACUUUUUUUAUUAUAAGACAUUAAUUUAUGAUUAUUUGAUCCAUUAAUAGUGAUUAUAAGAAAAAAUUACCUUAGGGAUAACAGCGUUAUUUUUUUUGAGAGUUCUUAUCGAAAAAAAAGAUUGCGACCUCGAUGUUGGAUUAAAAUUAAUUUCUGGUGUAGAAGUUAGAAAUUUUAGGUCUGUUCGACCUUUAAAAUUUUACAUGAUCUGA